GGCAGUUUAGCUUAAAGGUAAAGCACAAUGACUGGUAAUCACAGAGAUGUGAGUUCAAGUCUCAUGGUUGGCU
rfam:Octopus bimaculoides Scaffold2770_contig_45, whole genome shotgun sequence.